ensembl:lncRNA
CGUCUCUUCAGGUUUGGACUCCGUGGAAUGAGACGAAACCUAUUCGAGGGGAACAACAGGGAAGGGCUUUUUGGGCCUCCUCUGCCGGCAUUUCUAGAGUUUUCUAUCCAGAAGUAAAAUUCUCGCCAGAAAAAAAGUUCCUUUUCUUUUUGCAGUUGUCCUCUUCCCGCUGCCCUAGGAGCGCUAAACAUCCCCAGAAGAGCCCUUCGGACUUCGUGGGAUGUCCGCUUCCUGGGACCCCAGGUCCAAGGCUUUCAGGGUUCACCCCAUCCCCGCCCACCCGCGUCCCCAAGACGGCGGCACCCUCUCGGUUUCGAAAGGGGAGCUCAGCGCCCACGGGCUGCCCUCUAGACGUUUCCAUUCUCCCGACGUUUAUAUGCUUCAGCGGCCAGUUUUGAAGUUUUGAACAGCGGCCACGCUUGAAAGCCUUUCACAUCCUCCCAUUCUGCAGAGGGGGAUGCACGAACACAGGCGGGCAGCUGCUGAAACUCAGUAGUUCCUGGAUCUUCACUAUUUGGCCCCAGGAUGGUUUCUCCCCGCCCUCAUCAGGUGCAACUGGUCUCUGCACUAUCUGCAGCCCUGCAACUACCCUGACCUGCAUGAUUCCACACCGAUUCCAGAGAACUACCAGGCUGCAGAGGCUGAAGGCACAGGCAUGGGACUUACCACGGUCAGUCUCCAGGCCCAUGGACUAUAGCCCAUCAGCCUCCUCUGUCUGUGGGAUUUCCCAGCCAAGAAUACUGGAGUGCAUUGCCUUUUCUUUCUCCAGGUGAUUUUCCGGAACCAGGGAUUGAACCUGGGUCUCCUGGAUUGCAGGCAGAUUCUUUAUCGACUAAGCCACCUGGGAAGCCCUAAUGGUUAAUAACAGACCAUUUAAAUAUAUAUAUACAGUAGUCUGUGUGUACUUUUGGGGGCAUUUCCUAGAUUAAUUUUCCUGGAAGACAAACGUUCCUGCUCCCCUUCUACGUUGCUUUGGGAAAUAAAAAUGCUGUAUUCCUUUCCAG